rnacentral:lncRNA from 1 species
GGCUGACUGGCCAGAGAUAAGCUAAGAAGGGACUGGAUUCCAGACCUUUUGUCUAGCACUGAGGAAUUUGCAGUCUUCUAGAAGCAAAGGAAAAGAAGACUCACGUGCCACAAGUCAAAGGACUGGCUGGGGUCUGCCAUACGGAGACGUACAGAGCUAGACAAUGGCCACUGAGUACACACAACCAAUACUGCACCUCCAUUGUACAGGCAAACAAACAUUGGCCCAGGGAGCACACAGAAUCCAGAGCAGGGCCCAGACAGCAUCAGGACAGUGGAACUGACAUCUCAUGACAAACAUCCCUGUUGUCCACACCAACAGCAGCUGCACCUGCGUAAGGCCUCCAAAGAUAGACUUUGUCCCCGGAAAGAAGCAGCUGUGGGAAGCGAGAAGCUCUGUCGCACCGACCUGGAGCCAGGAAUGUCCUGAAGCAGUUUCUGUAGGAAUCAUACUCGCUGCUAAACGGCUUUGCCCUCUGACAGAGUCCCUCCUGGUUCUGCCUUGUGAUCAGCAACCAGUUUUUAGUUCAUUCUGCUGGUACUCUUGGCCUUUGUUAAGCAUCUAAACUACAGCUGUCCAAGACUUGCCACAAAGAUGGUUUGUAAAUAAACUUGAAC